GAUGAACGCUAGCUACAGGCUUAACACAUGCAAGUCGCGGGGCAGCAUGGGGGUUGCUUGCAAUCCCCGAUGGCGACCGGCGCACGGGUGAGUAACGCGUAUUCAACCUGCCCUUCACCACGGGAUAACCCGGCGAAAGUCGGACUAAUACCGUAUGUUGUCCAUUGACGGCAUCCGAUUUGGACGAAAGGCUUGGCGGUGAGGGAUGGGGAUGCGUCCGAUUAGCCAGACGGCGGGGUAACGGCCCACCGUGGCUACGAUCGGUAGGGGUUCUGAGAGGAAGGUCCCCCACACUGGAACUGAGACACGGUCCAGACUCCUACGGGAGGCAGCAGUGAGGAAUAUUGGUCAAUGGGCGUAAGCCUGAACCAGCCAAGUAGCGUGCAGGAUGACGGCCCUAUGGGUUGUAAACUGCUUUUAUGCGGGGAUAAAGUGGCCCACGUGUGGGCUUUUGCAGGUACCGCAUGAAUAAGGACCGGCUAACUCCGUG
rnacentral:rRNA from 1 species